rnacentral:rRNA from 5 species
AAGGAUCAUUAUUGAAUACGAUUGGUACUGAUGCUGGCCCUUCACUGGGCAUGUGCUCGUCCAUCUAUUUAUCUUCUCUUGUGCACAUCUUGUAGUCUUGGAUGAACCCUUUCGCACUCGUGCGGUCUGGGAGUUGCGAAAUUAAACCUUUGCUUCUCCUGCUUGUCCAAGGCUAUGUUUUCAUAUACACUAUAAAGUUACAGAAUGUCUAUUAACGACUUGUGCUUGUCACGGUCAUUAAACCUAUACAACUUUCAGCAACGGAUCUCUUGGCUCUCCUAUCGAUGAAGAACGCAGCGAAAUGCGAUAAGUAAUGUGAAUUGCAGAAUUCAGUGAAUCAUCGAAUCUUUGAACGCACCUUGCGCCCUUUGGUAUUCCGAAGGGCAUGCCUGUUUGAGUGUCAUUAAAUUAUCAACCUUGCUCGCUUUUACCGGCUUGAGUUAGGCUUGGAUGUGAGGGUCUUUGCUGGCUUCCUUCAGUGGAUGGUCUGCUCCCUUUAAAUGCAUUAGUGGGAUCUCUUGUGGACCGUCACUUGGUGUGAUAAUUAUCUAUGCCAUCUUGACUUUGAAGCAAACUAAUGGGAACCUGCUCAUAACCGUCCUUUUCAAGGACAACUCUUGACAUUUUGACCUCAAAUCAGGUAGGACUACCCGCUGAACUUAA